UGAGCAACCUGCCCUUAGCUCUGGGAUAACCCCGGGAAACCGGGGCUAAUACCGGAUAUGAGUCCGAGCGGCAUCACGCGGACUGGAAAGUUUUUCGGCUAAGGAUGGGCUCGCGGCCUAUCAGCUUGUUGGUGGGGUAAUGGCCUACCAAGGCGACGACGGGUAGCCGGCCUGAGAGGGCGACCGGCCACGCUGGGACUGAGACACGGCCCAGACUCCUACGGGAGGCA
rnacentral:rRNA from 1 species